GACCACUCCGGUGGCCUAGUGGUUGGAGCGUCCGUCUUGGAUGCGGGAAGUCCUGUGUUCGAUACCCGGACGAGUCA